rnacentral:rRNA from 1 species
CGUAGGGGGCAAGCGUUGUCCGGAAUUAUUGUGCGUAAAGCGCGCGCAGGCGGCUAUUUAAGUCUGGUGUUUAAACCUUGGGCUCAACCUGAGGUCGCACUGGAAACUGGGUGGCUUGAGUACAGAAGAGGAAAGUGGAAUUCCACGUGUAGCGGUGAAAUGCGUAGAUAUGUGGAGGAACUCCAGUGGCGAAGGCGACUUUCUGGGCUGUAACUGACGCUGAGGCGCGAAAGCGUGGGGAGCAAACAGGAUUAGAUACCCUGGUAGUCCACGCCGUAAACGAUGAGUGCUAGGUGUUAGGGGUUUCGAUACCCUUGGUGCCGAAGUUAACACAGUAAGCACUCCGCCUGGGGAGUACGGUCGCAAGACUG